CUGGAAGGCAAUGCCGAGGGACUUGCCUUGAUACUAUCUCUCAUAGCAAGCAUGGAGUCUAUGUUAUACAUUGAUACAAAAUAACACACACUUUCACAAGAUUGAAGCAGUUUCAAUUAUUCAUACUAAAUGGAUUUUACUAUUAUUACUUGCCUCUGGAAUUGCUUUUGGUAACACAGGUGGUGAUUUGCAGGCCUAACCCGUCUUCUAAGCACUCCUCAGCACCCCACCAUCAGCAAGCAUCUGGAGAUCGGGCAGUUUACCCUUCUCUACCGUCCUGAAAGUGACUGAGUGACCAUGAGUCUUAGGGUUUCUCCUCUUCAUGUGGUCUUUCUACGUGGAUGUUUGGACUUCCUCACAGCAUGGCAGCUAAGUUCCAAGAAGGAGAGUUUCAAGAAGAAUUCAAUGGAAGCUACCACUCCUCCUAAAGGCUAAGCCCAGAAUUGGCGCAGCAUCAUUUCCAUUUCAUUCUAUUAGUUAACAGAGUCACAGCCAGUCCACAUUCAGUGAGGGAAAGGACUGCACAAGGACAUGAGUACUGGGAAGUGAAGUUCAUUGACAGCCAUCCUUGGAGACCAGCUGUGUCACCUUCUCAUCUUGCGUCAUCAUUAUGUGUGUUUACUUUUGUUAGAAAACUGAAUAAAAAUGCUAUAAAGCAUGCUGGUACAAGGUCUGAUGCAAUCACAGAAGAAGGAAUGACCAACACUUUGUGGUGGGGGAAAGAAGAACUUUGAAGGAAAGGAGUCUUCAAAGCUAAAUCUUGAAUGCACGGUCUCAGGUAGGGCAGGGCAGGCAGGGCAAGUUAGGCCGAGGAAAUAGCACGCGUGAGGCUGCUCAGGCAGGAAGAAGCCAGGAGUGUUUGGGGAACACACUGCUUCAAGGAGCAUAUGAGAGGGUGGAGGAGGUGGCAGAAAAAGCUGGAGAAGAAAGCUGCAGUUGGAUCGAGAAAGCGUAGGUUCUACCUGCAAAUGAGUUAGCCAAACUCGACAUUAAGGGCACAGUCCUCCAGACCGCCGAGUCUGCCCAAGACUCACCAGCUGCAAGGAGUUUGCUGAAGUCAAAGUCAGAGGAAACAGUCCCCACAAGACCGCCCUCGGUUCAGACACCACCCUCACUUCAGACUAGCUGGCCAAAAAUGCUAGACUGCUCACAAUCACCCUCAGGUUUGAUAAUUCACUAGAAUGACUCACAGAACUAAGGAAAAUGCUGUGCGUAUUAUUACAGUUUUAUUAUGGUGAAAGGAUACAAAUUAGAACCAGCCAAAGGAAGAGGCUCAUAGAGCAGAAUCUGAGAGGGGUCCAAACGUGAAGCUUCUGUAACUUCAGGAACGUGGUCCCUCCUGGCAUCAAUGUGUGGUGGUACACACGGAGUGCUGCUAACUCAGGAAGCUCACCUGAGCCUUUGGUGUCCAGAGCUUUCCUGGGGCUUGAUCACUUACUAUUUGUGUGGCUGACCUUUAGUAUCUAGCUCCUCUGGAGGUGGGAACUGAUAUGACAUGUCCCAAAGCCCCUCAUCAUCCAUCUCAUUGUUAGACUGUCUGAUGGGCAAAGCCCCAGGCAAACAAAGACACUCCCGUCAGUCAGCACUUCCCAGGAAGCACCUCCUGGCAGCCGAGGGCAGAGGCCAGACCCCUCCUUGGGGAAAGUGCGUUCCUUAGCACACACCCGCCCUGUAUUUUGGAAUACACAUUAGGAGUACAGGCUGUAGAGUUUGCUCAGGUUUGCCCGCCCCUUUUAGUGGCCACGACACUAUCUAUAAAUAACCUGGUUCUCCUCUCCUCCUGGGUACAUGGUGGGAUUGUGCUCCCUUGCUCUCUUUGAAGAUAGCUAUGGGCUAUGACUUGCCUCAGUUGAAAAAAUGCAAGUGAAAGUGAAGAGCAGGCGGAAGCUUUGGAAGUCAACGUGGGGCUCACCACACAGCCUUCCUCUCCUUAGGGACUGUGAAGACACAUGUUGAGAUGGAGGAUCCGCGAGCCUGGGCCCCUGAGUAACUAUGAAGAACAAGUACCCCGCCCCAACCCUUGUUGGACUUGCAGUGUGAGUGAGAAGUCAAUCUUUGGGUUAAACUGCUGAGAUGUGGGGAUUCUUUGUUACCACAACGUUUUACUCUAUCCUGAUAUUUUACCAUGGGUGAUCUUGGGCAAGUUAACCAGCUUCCCUCUGCUUUAGUUUCUUCACCCGUAGAAUAGGAAUAAUAGUGCCUCCGUCUUGGGGUCGUGAUGAGAAUAAGUGAGUUUCAUGUUGUGUUACUUUGCUCGGGCUGCAGUACAAAGUGCCACAGCCUGGGCGGCUUAAGCCACACAACUUAUCUCCUCACAGCUCUGGAGGCUGGGAGUCCAAGCUCAAGGUGUGGGCAGAUUUGGUUUCUUCUGGGGCUGCUCUCCUUGGCUUGUAGCUGGCUGUCUUCUCUCUCUGUCUGCACAGGGUCUUUUCUCUGUGCAUGUCUGAGUCCUAAUCUCCUCUUUUUUGUAAGGACACCAGUUGCAUUGGAUUAGAGCUAACCCUAAUGACCUCAUUUUUAGAGACCCUGUCUGCAAAUAUAGUCACAGUCUGUGGCACUGGGGGUUAGGACUUCAGCAUAGGCAUUGGGGGGGUGCACAGUUCAGCCCAUAGCACACGUGGAAAGCAUUUAUAGCAGAAUGAUACGUGGCGCGUGGUAAAUAGUCAAUAAAUUUAGCUACUAUGGUUAUUAUGGUCAUUAUCUUUUAUAUACACUGAUAAGAAAGUGUGUUCAAGACAUAGUGUUACCUGUAGAAAGUUGCUGAACAAUGUUUGAUAUUAUCCCUACUUGUUUAGUUAAUUCAUAAGUAAAUGAGGAAAUAAUAUUGUGCACCUAGGGAACACAAUCUAAAAAAAUAUGCUAAUCUGAAAAGGCUGUGUACUGUGUGAUUCCAACUACAGGACACUCUGGAAAAUGCAAAACUAUGGAGACAGUAAACAGAUCAGUGGUUUCCAGGGCCUGGAGGAGGGAGGGAUGAGCGGGGGAAGGACGGAGGUUUUCAGGGCAGUGAACUACUCCAUAUCAUACCAUGAGGGUCUAGACAAGUCAUUGUAUAUUUGUCAAAAUCUGUAAAAUGUGCGGCACCAGGAGUAAAGCCUAAUGUAAGCGAGGGACUGUGGGGACAAUGAUGUGUCCACGGAGGCUCGCUGAUCUGCAGAGCACACCUGCAGCGUAACCAACGUGCCACUCCGGCAGGGGUCUUGACAGUGAGGGAGGCUGUGCCCGGGGCGGGGGCAGAAGCACACGGGAAAUCCCUGCACAUUCUGCUCAAUUUUGCUGUGAAUCUUAAAUUGCCUUAAAAAAUUGUCUAUUAAAAAAUUAAAAAAUAUAUUUAAAAAUGCCAAACUGUGAAUAAUGAUUUUGGCAGGGAGGGAGAGGAGUUGAGGGAUAAAUUAAGAGGAUUUUUCUGUCAUGUAUUUUGGUGAAGUUUGAGUUUUUUAAUUUUUCAUGUCUGUAAAUCUCUCAUUGGAAAAAUAUGUAUAACAAAACAAAAAUAAAAGAUAGCCAACUCCUUUGGGAUGACAAAUAAAAAUGGCAAGCAAUAGGAUAUAUUGGAGUAUAUGAGGAAGCCAUUUGGUAUAAACCUAAUUCGGCCUGACUUUGUUUUUUCCAAAUGGGCCUGACUGUGGCUUUUGAGCAUGCAUUGUAUAUCUGCUUAGACGUUUCCUAUGGCCAGAACAAAGGCCCUUGAGAUAAAGGUGCAACUUCCCCCCACACUGGCAUUUCCUUAGGGAUAAGCAUCUUUCCUUAGGCUAGGAACUGAUUGCUGCACUCACCUUUGACCACCCAGCUCACCUGUGACCACUCAGCUGGAGACAACAACUUGCCACCCCGCUGUGUUCACUGAGACAGAAGACCUACCUGCUGUUUCAUCAAUUGCUGUGCAGUCUCGCGACUAUUGUAAAAGCGACAGAGCAGUCUCGCGACUAUUGUAAAAGCGACAUUUCAAUCCUAUGUGAAACAUCCUCUCUGGGGGUAUAUAACCACUCUGUGCACCCCACUUCUUUGGUGUCCUUUCUUCCUUCGGGAAGAGAGGCCCCGGGUUAUAAUCCUCAGAUUUAAGCUCAGAAUAAACUCA
rnacentral:lncRNA from 1 species